rnacentral:rRNA from 1 species
UAAUCGGAAUUACUGGGCGUAAAGCGUGCGCAGGCGGUCCGUUAAGACAGAUGUGAAAUCCCCGGGCUUAACCUGGGAACUGCAUUUGUGACUGGCGGACUCGAGUAUGGCAGAGGGGGGUAGAAUUCCACGUGUAGCAGUGAAAUGCGUAGAGAUGUGGAGGAAUACCGAUGGCGAAGGCAGCCCCCUGGGCCAAUACUGACGCUCAUGCACGAAAGCGUGGGGAGCAAACAGGAUUAGAUACCCUGGUAGUCCACGCCCUAAACGAUGUCAACUGGUUGUCGGGCCUUCAUUGGCUUGGUAACGAAGCUAACGCGUGAAGUUGACCGCCUGGGGAGUACGGUCGCAAGAUUA